CAUGCUCCUUCCACAUAAGCACAGUUAUGGUGCUCAACUCAGGGCCCCACGGUUCAGAUGAAUUCAGGUCAGAGAGGACAACAUCAACAAGAAGGUCCGUCCACGGAGAGGUCCGUGUAUCCGACAAGGGACAGCCUCCACACCGAACUAUGUUUCCAGUCCCAGCAAGCAGCAAGCCAACAACUUUCAAGAUGAAUUAAGGCCACGGCAUCCGUGGAGUUCCGCUGGUGGAAGGCAGCUUUGUUAAACCCAAAUGAAAGCUCAGCCCAUUGUUCCCAGCCUCCUCUAAUAGCUGUUGUCUCUCCUCCAUCCCUCCCAGGCUCCGCAGCUCAGCUGUGACUCUUUGUGCCUCCCUUUCCCUGCCUUCUGCUUCUGUUUGUCCUUUUGAUCUCCACUUCUCAGCUUGUGUUUUCUGCUGUGUCCCCCUCCCCCCAUGCCUGAUUUCCACUUUUAUUAGGGUGCAAGGCAGCAGCUGAAAGAGGAACAAUGCAUCGGAGCUGAAAAGGCUUUGAAGCUGAAUCGGGUUGUUUACCCAGAGAUUCCCCAAUCUCCUCCUGAAAUAAAAUAGUAUUUUACCUCCA